UGGCCGAUCCUCAUGUCCAGCAGGUGGGGGUGUAUGGCCGUGUGGUCGGCCUUCAGCAGCCUGCGCUCAAUGUUCUGAGCUGCGGAGACAAACACAGCAGGGGUUAAGAUCCAACAUGGAUGAAAUGAGUCAAGGAUGGAGGACUGAAACCUCGAGUGGGAGCGAGACACGUGUCGUCGAUCGAUGCAAAUCAAUAGAUCGUCUACCUGCUCCAUCGUCCGGCUCCAGGCCCGUCUCCGUGUCCACCCCACACACCACAAAAUAGUGGGCGAAUCGGCAGGAAGCCGAUCCUGUGGCCGCCGCAGUCCCGUUCAUCCUCGACGCGGUGUGAAUGGUGAGAGAGAGAGAGAGAGGAAAAAAGACAGCUCCGAUUAUUUCUCUGCUUAGCGGGGUUGGAUGUUCAUAGCGGAUGCGGCUAAUCCGGAUUGUUUUUCGGCCCCACCACCCUGGAGCCGUGCGCUGGGUCGCCCGCACCGCCUGCCUGCACUCGCUGCUCCGCCGUGAGAGUGUGAUGGAGCCGAGGACGAUCCGGCGAUGGUCAUCUCGUUUGUUCAGAGGGGGGAGGAGGAUGUGUGUAGG